CAAAGACGUCCUCCCAGAAGGACGCCUCACACUUCAUGUCUCCAGACUCAGGACCAGUGACUCUGGGUUUUAUGUGUGUGACAUACUCGUCAAAUCUGAGGGGAGGAACUCUAGGAGAUGCUGGCUCAACGUCACUGCUGCUGCUGAGCCCACACCUCUGACACAAACUGUGAAACCCCAUCAGAAGAUCCAGGGAAUUAUCGUGCUGCACAUCGGACUGGGAAUAUCAGCAGUGGCUUUACUGGCUCUCUUUGUCUCUCUGAGUUGCUUUUCUUAAGAUGAGCUCAAAGGUGGACCCUGUUUGCACCAUGGAUGUAUGGGAAAGAGAAAUGGAUACAGCGUUGGAGAGUCUUACUCUGAACGUUAAUUGUUUUGGAUCUUUAGAAUUCCAUACUGCAAAUAUAGUGCUGCGGCAAUGACGUGUUAGCAUCGGAGGCAAGCAUCAUACUGAUAAAGAGCCAAUCUGACUGUGGAAAUGUUGAAUUUCCAUUUGAUUUUGUAGGCUGUACGAACUUUAUCAUGGUCACAUGACUUUACGUUCCCACUUCUAAGCUCAAGGCGCCUUAUUUUUGGCCAAAUAAUCAAAUGUACUGAUGUGCAUCAUGUUGUGGAACAAACGUUAAAAUCUCUUCAGCUUGGGUUAAUUUUGUAUUCAGCUUUUACCACAAAAUGUAUUAAAAAACCCUUGACUUUGAGACCGUUGAACAAGAAGUGCUGAAAUGCUGAUGUAACCCAGGUUAUGAUGCGGUUGACUAAUUUACGUAUGUUCCCUGAACGCCUCACUUAUGCACAAAUCACACAGUCUUAUUUAUGUCUUGGUACUGUGAACUGCAACGGACACUAUGGUUACACUGUCCUGUUACUUAAAGUUGAGUACUGUUACUGAGAGUAAAUCCACUUCUACCAGCCAAUCAGAAUGGUGGAGUCUCAGUGGCCAGAGUUUAAAAUCGUUUGCACUGUUAAAGCUAAUCUUUAUUUAAAAAGAAAAACCUGUCAAGCUGUCAAACCUUAUAGUAUUUAUAUGUUUCAGAACACAACCCUCCCCCUUUGGAUACAAAAAAAAAGCCAAAAUGAUCAUUUAUUUUCUAAAUCUUCAGGGAUUAAUGGCACAUCGUUAUUUAUACGACUGUUCUUGGUGCUAUUCAAGAUUAUUGCAGAUCUAUCUGUCGUAAAACAGGGGGAACCCAUCAGCUGCAACAUGAACUGACACUGUGAUGGCCUAUCUUAGCCAUCACAGUGUUUAAACUCAAUGAGACUUCUCAUACAUACAUAAAGGUUAAAUAAUACAAAAAAGGUUAUGAUUGUAGCAAAUACCUAGGCCAAGUUUUUCAUGAUUCUUUUAAUAAUUUUUUUUGAUGCACUUAUUUACUGCUUGGCAUUUUAUUUGCAAUAUAUCCACUGCACUUUCAUGUUUUUUUAAGCUUUUACAGUAUGUCUUCAUUAAAAUUAUAACAAAGGAAGAAAA